AGCAGCUAUGGGGCCCUUAUUCAAAAUGGCCAGGUUAGGGUCCUCUUCUUAGGAUCAGAAGGCACUACUGACCACCAGCAUUCUUUCCAACCAGGCAGUUUCUUCCAGGAACAGGUAUCCUUGUUGGUAACUGGAUAAAAUCCUAUGGACUUGCUGAACCAAAAGAAAUGAGCAUUUUGAAGCCUUUGAACAUUUUGUCAAAUGACCCUCCAAGAGAAUGUAAACUCUCGCUCAGCGCCAAGCACAGCAUCAUCAGUGCCUGUCAAAGUGCCUCGCAUAUAGUUCAUCCUCGAUAAAUACAUGUUGAAUAGAUGAAUGCACAGGAAAAAGGAAAUAAUUUUAGUAUUGCGCUAACCAAGCAUAAUACUCAAGCUAAAUCUAAUGUAAAACUUACCACCAGCUGCCUUCCGGAAACAAGUGAAAAAAGACAAGAGACACCACAAACAAUGGGACCCCACAGCACUGCCAGUUGGAGAACAGGGGAGCCCAGAUGCUGGUCCCUGACCACUUCCACCGUCUUGUGCUGAUUCUGGAUGCAGGAUGCAAAGAACCAUUUCCCUCAGCAUCUGAGGAGGAGGAAAUCCUUUCUAUCAUGGAAAGCAGCUUGGGUUCUCAUGACAAAUUCAAUGUCAGAGAGCUGAACCAACAUCAUAGAGUGCUCUUCAAGGACAGCCUCCCUCCUGGGCCCUCCACUGCCUAGGUCACCAGGCCUCCAGACUCCAGGCCUCCAGAUCCCAGGCCAAAAAGCUGCUUGUAUUUCCUUACUCUCCCAGGGCCUCUCCUGAUACCUGGCCUCUGAAAUUCUUCCCACAUAUAAGGGUGCACUCAGUGUUCAUGAAAGCAAGUGUUUCCAGGGUUUCAGAUGCUCCACAGAGAAACUUUCAUAGUCAUUCAAAAAGAUUAGCUUCUCUCUCUAAUUCACAUCAUCACCAAGGGAUAAAGCCUCACAGGUUACGGGCUGGAGCUUCUUCCUCUGAGGGUCUAACAGGAAAAGCUGGACAAGGAUAUAUUUGUUCUUUUCUACUUACAGCCCAAAAGAGUGGCACAGUCCCCAAAAAUACUUCAUUCUGUAGUUUUUUUAAAUAAAUGGACAAAAAAAAAAAACACUUGGUUUCUAGAUGGCCAGGUAAAAUAAGAAAAGAGCAUUUCCAGGGUUGAGUUGGCAGCCCUAUCUGUUGGUCUCUCCACUUCAGUGAGGUCCUCUGAAUGGUAAAUGAAUGAAGGCAGAAGAGGGGAGAAGAGCUUUAUCUGACCUCACACUAAAAAGUAACAGGAGAGUCAAGAAGGAAACAGGCAGAAGCCUGAAGGGAUAGGAACAAUGUGAAAAGUAGAGUAGGUCUGUGAGCUCCUUCCCCAAAUCCCUGCAUGGCCAGUUAGCCCAGAAAUGCACCAGGGCAGAGCUCCACAAAGGGAGAGAAGCGUCCAGCACCCAUGGCGCUUAUGACCAUCAUAAAAGGGACAGCGGUUCUGGAGAUGGAACUCUACCUGGCUGAUUUUUAGAUCAUAUAGUCAGAUACAUAUUUGUUGAUCUAACUCAGCAUUGGUUCAUACUCAACCCUUCCCUUCCACAUGUCAAGCACACAAAUACACAUCCCAGAUUUACAAACUGACAGUUUCCCAUUCCUGUGCCGAAUGCCUUGGCUUAACUUGAAAGGCAUUUCAGAGGCUGAACUACUGAGACAGAUUCAACGCAUACAGUGACACUCAGGCUGCUAGAUACCGACUAGUCAACCCUUGGCCAGCAGCUGCCAGAUGCUUAAAAACCACACUGAAAUGAUCAGACCCCUACGUGCAACCUGCAACUGAUUUGAGGACCUCCCUGUUUUGUAUUUUCUGUUGUUCUAACAAAAAAAGGAUCUUCUUAAAUCUAUUUCACGUAUUACAGUAGCCCGGACAUCAAAUGUUUCCCAGAGUGAAAUUAAAUAUAGCAUUUUAUUUGGAACAAGCCAUCCUAACUCAAUUUCCCUCCCCAGCAUUGCCACAGAGAGACCUUCCAUUUGGUAGCUGAAAGAUGUGCUGAGCUCUAGGCUGGACGUAGGACUUCUUUCCACGCUCUUGGUAAUCCAUCUGCUUCCUCUGCCCCAGUACAAGCACUACAGGAAUAAAAAAGGGAGUUUUGCCCCUCUGCCCCCAUGCACUGCCUUUAGGGAAAAAUAUCCCUGUCUUUCCAGCACAGCCUAUCCAAGCUCCUGCAGAAUAUGGUGCUGCACCACCAGAAAUUUUCUUCCUGAAGAAAAGUCAAUGAGUUUGCCAUAAAGCAGGUUUCUCUCUUUGGAGGGAGCCGGUCAUAUCUGGGAUAUUGUUGCAUGUUGUUGAUGAUUAACCUGCAGGAGACGCGUUGUCAAUAAACAUUUACUGGACAUCCACUGAGGGCCCUGCAUCUCAGGGAGUGAGAGGCUACGGAGAAGCAAAGGAUGCUAGAGUAGGGACGUGGGAGGAGCCCAGAGACCCCAAAACCCAAUGUGCUCACUUUGUAAAUGUAGUAACGGAGACCGAGAAAGAACCUGGUGUUGCCAAGCUCACAGCACCAUGUGGCAGCCCUGGCGACUUCCUGAAUCUCAGAUCAGGGCUUCUCCAAAGCUCUCUCCUAAGUUAGACAGGGGUAGAAGUGGAGACUGAAUAUCUAUCUCAAGUACGUAAAAGUGUCCGUGGAAGUCUCCGGUGACUCUGCAGUUACAGCUCCCAUUUCCCGAGGGCCUGAGCAGGGACCUGGCACCUAAGUUAUCUUUAACUUCCCAAACAAGUCUGAAAUAAGGACACUUAGGCUCAGAAUGAGGCCCAAGGUCACACCGAUCGUGAACAUGACAGGUGCAAAUUUGAACCCAGUAGUGUCUGAUUCCAAAGCUGAAUAUACGGAUAUGUUAGGAUGCCCACCUGCUAUGUCACCUCACUUACUCCACCCUUGAGAUGGAACCAUCUCUGUAAAGAAAUAAGGAUUAAACCAAAUCAAGUACAAAUGAAAACCCAGACUGCAAGCCAUCAUAGAAAGAUUCAAUGUGUGUAUGUAUUUGCAUGAUUAAGCACAUGCAGAGAAAGAAUACAUCUAGAUAUCAAGUGGUAAUUUUUAAAUUUUCUCCUUUAUAAAUUUCUGUUUUUCUCAAAUAUUAA